UACGGAGGGUGCAAGCGUUAAUCGGAAUUACUGGGCGUAAAGCGCACGUAGGUGGUUCGCUAAGUCAGCUGUGAAAUCCCCGGGCUUAACCUGGGAACUGCAUUUGUGACUGCAUCGCUGGAGUGCGGCAGAGGGGGAUGGAAUUCCGCGUGUAGCAGUGAAAUGCGUAGAUAGUGCGGAGGAACACCGAUGGCGAAGGCAGCCCCCUGGGAUAACACUGACGCUCGAUGA
rnacentral:rRNA from 1 species